UGGCCUACCAAGGCGACGACGGGUAGCCGGCCUGAGAGGGUGACCGGCCACACUGGGACUGAGACACGGCCCAGACUCCUACGGGAGGCAGCAGUGGGGAAUAUUGCACAAUGGGCGCAAGCCUGAUGCAGCGACGCCGCGUGAGGGAUGACGGCCUUCGGGUUGUAAACCUCUUUCAGCACGGAAGAAGCGAAAGUGACGGUACGUGCAGAAGAAGCGCCGGCUAACUACGUGCCAGCAGCCGCGGUAAUACGUAGGGCGCAAGCGUUGUCCGGAAUUAUUGGGCGUAAAGAGCUCGUAAGCGGUUUGUCGCGUCUGCUGUGAAAGCCCGGGGCUUAACCCCGGGUGUGCAGUGGGUACGGGCAGACUUGAGUGCAGUAGGGGAGAACUGGAACUCCUGGUGUAGCGGUGAAAUGCGCAGAUAUCAGGAAGAACACCGAUGGCGAAGGCAGGUCUCUGGGCUGUUACUGACGCUGAGGAGCGAAAGCAUGGGGAGCGAACAGGAUUAGAUACCCUGGUAGUCCAUGCCGUAAACGUUGGGCACUAGGUGUGGGGGACAUUCCACGUUUUCCGCGCCGUAGCUAACGCAUUAAGUGCCCCGCCUGGGGAGUACGGCCGCAAGGCUAAAACUCAAAGGAAUUGACGGGGGCCCGCACAAGCGGCGGAGCAUGCGGAUUAAUUCGAUGCAACGCGAAGAACCUUACCAAGGCUUGACAUACACCGGAUCGGCUCAGAGAUGGGUUUUCCUCCUUGUGGGGCUGGUGUACAGGUGGUGCAUGGUUGUCGUCAGCUCGUGUCGUGAGAUGUUGGGUUAAGUCCCGCAACGAGCGCAACCCUCGUUCUAUGUUGCCAGCACGUGAUGGUGGGGACUCAUAGGAGACUGCCGGGGUCAACUCGGAGGAAGGUGGGGAUGACGUCAAAUCAUCAUGCCCCUUAUGUCUUGGGCUUCACGCAUGCUACAAUGGCCAGUACAAUGGGUUGCGAUACCGUGAGGUGGAGCUAAUCCCAAAAAGCUGGUCUCAGUUCGGAUCGUGGUCUGCAACUCGACCACGUGAAGUCGGAGUCGCUAGUAAUCGCAGAUCAGCAACGCUGCGGUGAAUACGUUCCCGGGCCUUGUACACACCGCCCGUCAAGUCACGAAAGUUGGUAACACCCGAAGCCGGUGGCCUAACCCUUGUGGUGGCGAUUGGGACUAAGUCGUA
rnacentral:rRNA from 1 species